UAUUCAUAAUGCGAAGUUUUUAAAUCCCUUUAGUGGUCGAAGGGGUUAAAAUGUUUAUCAGUAAAGCAUGCAUAUGCUUUCAUUGCAAUCACAGGAUGAACAUGAUGGCUAAUAUCCCUAUCAAAUGCGCCAAUUAUGCAAAAUCGCAUGCUGUACACUUUAAUAAAGAAGUUCGACAAGAGCUGAUAAAAAAAAACCCAAGUGAGAGAGAGAGAUUCCUCAGCUUUAAAGCAAACCCUUUCAUUAUAUUUUUUGGCAAAGAGACAGGGCCACCACUUUCUGCAACCAGAAGCCUUCUUCAUCACUUCAAUCUUACUAUAUUAUGCAAUAUAAAGCCAGUAACAUUACCACCAAGUUCCCUGAGAAAAUGGCUGCAACAGCUCCGGUUGCAAUAGGCACGCGGGGUACAGUAGGAUCACUUGUGAGGAAAGAAAUUGAGUAUUUCUCCAAGUUUGAGAUAGACCGAUGUCCAAGUUCAAGGAAACCUCAAGAGCAGGUGGCUGACAUAGCUUCCAGUAAUGGUCAGUCAAGGCCUAGUUUCUGGUCCUUGACGAUGAGCUGGAAAAGGAAAAAGCGAAGAAGCAGCAGCGGAUUCCUUCCAAGUAUCUGUUCUGCUGUGGAAGUUGCUGACAGCAAUAGGCUCAGUAGGAUUCCUGGGUUCAGUUAUAGAAUCCUGAAGGAUGAUUCGAAGGAUAUGCAAGUUUAGACAAUCUUUUAAAGAGCUUCCAUGCUUUCUGACCUCUCUAAGCUGGCUGAGAUUGAUAAAGAAGAGCAAGCAUUUAUAUCGUGAGAGAAAUUAUAUCUACAUUGGCAUUCUGAUGUUCUGAACGAACAACACUCCUGCAAUUCUAGUGCCUGGACCUUUUUCCUGUGGCGAAAACAGUCCGUUUACAUAUUUACACACUUAUGAAAUACAGCAUCUACGAGAGUCGACGUAAUGGAUGCUUUCUGUUGAUGCCAUUGUAGCUUUUUUCUCCUCAGUUGGUUUGGUAAGAAAUUCAAGUGCGGUUACGACAUCAGCCAUCAAAGGUCGGGCUUCAGCUUCUUCAUGGACACACAUGGCUGCUAUUGCAAGAGCCUGAUAUAGACUCUUUUUUGGGUAGUUUCCUUCUAGUAAUGGAUCUGCCAUUGCUGUAAAUUUACUUCUGUCCUUCAACAGCGGCGCUGCCUACAAUAUGGAAAUGUGAAUCAAUAUCAAAAGGUCUGCACUCUGCACUCUGCACUCCCAAUUACUCUUAAAACCUCAAAAUUUGCAGCUUGUGUUCUAUGCUACAACCCUGGCAGAAAGGAAAGAUAUAAUCCUGACAACUUAAUUGCAAAAAAAUCAUCAACAUACCCAAUGAAUUAGGUUAUGCUCUUCUGUUGGUCUUGACAUAUCAAUAACUCUCCUUCCUGAAAUUAUCUCCAGAAGAACAACACCGAAACUAUACACAUCCGACCUUAUUGUCAGCUGACCUGUCGUUUGAUAUUCAGGAGCACAGUAGCCAUAUGUACCCAUCACCCUUGUAGACACAUGAUCCUUCCCUCCUGUUGGUCCCAACUUGGCAAGUCCAAAAUCAGACAGCUUUGGAUUGAAAUCUUCAUCCAAUAAUAUAUUUGAAGCUUUGAAAUCCCGAUAGAUGAUUUGAGGAUCGGCAACGCCGUGCAAAUAUUCCAGUCCUUGGGCUGCUCCUGAUGCUAUUUUCAUCCUAGUACUCCAGUCCAAAGGAUCUUUUCCUGAAGGUAAAUCUGGAAAGCAGAAGAUGUUAGCACCAUGAGUACAGAAUCUACUGGGACAAUUUGGAUAGAAAAACUUCAAACCUGAGUUAAAUCAAGGCAGUGCUUGAGCUGCCACAUGACAUGUAAACAGAAAAGAAUUUGGCAAAACUUCUAGCCUAGGAUAUAAAAUUUCAUGUGGGCAUACCAAGAAGGUGAUUUUCCAAAGAUCCAUUGGCCAUGAAUUCAUAAACUAAGAGUUUUUGAUCA